AUGUCCUUUAGAAUUUAAUUUAAGGUCUAACCUGCCCACUGAUAAAAAUUAAAUGGCCGCAGUAUUUUAACUGUGCAAAGGUAGCAUAAUCAUUAGUCUUUUAAUUGAAGGCUUGUAUGAAUGGUUGGACGAAAUAUUAACUGUUUCAUAAAAAUUUAUUUAGAAUUUUAUUUUUUAGUUAAAAAGCUAAAAUUUUUUUAAAAGACGAGAAGACCCUAUAGAUCUUUAUAAUUUAUUUAUUAUAGUUAUAUAGAUGAUUUAAAUUAUGAUUUUAUAUAUUAUUUUGUUGGGGUGACAUUAAAAUUUAAUAAACUUUUAAUAAAUUUUUACAUUAAUUUAUGAGUAAUUGAUCCAUUAUUAGUGAUUAUAAAAUUAAGUUACCUUAGGGAUAACAGCGUAAUUUUUUUGAAGAGUUCAUAUCGAUAAAAAAGAUUGCGACCUCGAUGUUGGAUUAAGAUAUAAUUUUGGGUGCAGCAAUUCAAUAAUUAAGUCUGUUCGACUUUUAAUUUCUUACAUGA
rnacentral:rRNA from 1 species